rnacentral:rRNA from 1 species
AACGAACGCUGGCGGCAUGCCUAACACAUGCAAGUCGAACGAGAUCUUCGGGUCUAGUGGCGCACGGGUGCGUAACGCGUGGGAAUCUGCCCUCUGGUUCGGAAUAACAGUUGGAAACGACUGCUAAUACCGGAUGAUGACGAAAGUCCAAAGAUUUAUCGCCAGAGGAUGAGCCCGCGUAGGAUUAGCUAGUUGGUGAGGUAAAGGCGCACCAAGGCGCCGAUCCUUAGCUGGUCUGAGAGGAUGAUCAGCCACACUGGGACUGAGAGACGGCCCAGACUCAUACGGGAGGCAGCAGUGGGGAAUGUUGGACCAUGGGCGAGAGCCUGAUCCAGCAAUGCCGCGUGAGUGAUGAAGGCGUUAGGGUUGUAAAGCUCUUUUGCCCGGGAUGAUAAUGACAGUACCGGGAGAAUAAGCUCCGGCUAACUCCGUGCCAGCCGCCGCGGUAA